GACGAACGCUGGCGGCGUGCUUAACACAUGCAAGUCGAACGGAAAGGCCCUGCUUGCAGGGUGCUCGAGUGGCGAACGGGUGAGUAACACGUGUGUGAUCUGCCCCUUACUUUGGGAUAAGCCUGGGAAACUGGGUCUAAUACUGGAUAGGACCAUGCUGUAGGUGGUGUGGUGGAAAGAUUAGUUUCGGUAAGGGAUGAGCUCGCGGCCUAUCAGCUUGUUGGUGGGGUAAUGGCCUACCAAGGCGUCGACGGGUAGCCGGCCUGAGAGGGUGGACGGCCACAUUGGGACUGAGAUACGGCCCAGACUCCUACGGGCGGCAGCAGUGGGGAAUAGUGCAAAAUGGGCGCAAGGCUGAUGCAGCGACGCCGCGUGGGGGAUGACGGCCUUCGGGUUGUAAACUCCUUUCGGCCAUGACGAAGCCCUUGUGGUGACGGUAGUGGUAGAAGAAGCACCGGCUAACUACGUG
rnacentral:rRNA from 1 species